rnacentral:misc_RNA from 1 species
CUGAGUCGUAAAAAACUCCCAACCCAUGUGAAUUUACCUUUGUUGCCUCGGCGGGACCUACCCGGUACCUACCCUGUAGCUACCCUGUAGCCCGCCGGUGGACUAUUAAACUCUUGUUAUUUUAUAGAAAUCUGAGCGUCUUAUUAAAUAAGUCAAAACUUUUAACAACGGAUCUCUUGGUUCUGGCAUCGAUGAAGAACGCAGCGAAAUGCGAUAAGUAAUGUGAAUUGCAGAAUUCAGUGAAUCAUCGAAUCUUUGAACGCACAUUGCGCCCAUUAGUAUUCUAUUGGGCAUGCCUGUUCGAGCGUCAUUUCAACCCUUAAGCUCAGCUUAGUGUUGGGAAUCUACCGUGAGCGGUGUUACCUGGUACCUACCCUAUAACGGGGCAGGUUACCCUGUAGCUACCCUGUAGUUCCUCAAAUCCAACGGCGGAGUCAUAGUCAUCUCUGAGCGCAGUAAUUUUUAUCACGCUUUUGAAGAUGCUAUAACCCUUGCCGCUAAACCCCCAAUUUUUUAAUG